rnacentral:tRNA from 1 species
GAGGGUAUAGAUCAGUGGUAGAGUGCAUACCUAGCAUGCAUGAGGUCCUGGGUUCAAUCUCCAGUACUUCUA